AAAAAUUGACUUAACAGAAAAAAACGUGAAUCGUGGGAAAAGGCUGGAUCAGAAUCAGAAGCAUCAGUCUUUCUGGUGGCUCUGGACCUGCUGGUUUCUCAGGCAUGCUCACAGGGACACAUUCCUAAGGAUUGAUGGUCUUACAUGUGGUAAUCCUGGUGAAUUGCCAUGGCCAGGACUCAGGGAUAAGAUAUUAAUGGGUUUGGAUACGUGAGGUAUGUGUCUUCAUUUUGUUGACUAUUUGCACUGCCCCAGAAGCCGCUCUAGGUGUCCCCUCACAGGUUUCUGUUCCCUGUGCCUUCCUCAUGAGGUACAGAGAGGGGUAGGUUUGAUACAGGGAGAGCACAGAGUGCAAAUACAGCUUUGUGCACAACAAAAUUUGCCCAUGCAUCUCUCUUAAUACAUCGGUAUAAGUUCCAGCUACCAUAGAGUGUUCCUUCCAGACAGUAUUUAUCUUUUUGAAUACCAUCAUUCUCACCAGUACAGUUUCCUCUUGAGCUGUAUUUAAUGU